rnacentral:rRNA from 1 species
CCUGCCCAGAAGCGGGGGAUAACACCUGGAAACAGAUGCUAAUACCGCAUAACAACUUGGACCGCAUGGUCCGAGUUUGAAAGAUGGCUUCGGCUAUCACUUUUGGAUGGUCCCGCGGCGUAUUAGCUAGAUGGUGAGGUAACGGCUCACCAUGGCAAUGAUACGUAGCCGACCUGAGAGGGUAAUCGGCCACAUUGGGACUGAGACACGGCCCAAACUCCUACGGGAGGCAGCAGUAGGGAAUCUUCCACAAUGGACGAAAGUCUGAUGGAGCAACGCCGCGUGAGUGAAGAAGGGUUUCGGCUCGUAAAACUCUGUUGUUAAAGAAGAACAUAUCUGAGAGUAACUGUUCAGGUAUUGACGGUAUUUAACCAGAAAGCCACGGCUAACUACGUGCCAGCAGCCGCGGUAAUACGUAGGUGGCAAGCGUUGUCCGGAUUUAUUGGGCGUAAAGCGAGCGCAGGCGGUUUUUUAAGUCUGAUGUGAAAAGCCUUCGGGUCAACCGAAGAAGUGCAUCGGAAACUUGGGGAACUUGAGUGCAGAAAGAAGACAGUGGAACUCCAUGUGUAGCGGUGAAAUGCGUAGAUAUAUGGGAA